GUCCCACCCCUUUCUGUGCUCUCCGAUACCGAUACCCACGCUGGGAAAGACUGGGGGCUCACGGAGAAGCUGGCGAGGAGGAGGAGAUGGUUGGAUGGCAUCCCAGACUGGUACACAGACUCAGUGUGUGCACUGUACAACCUCUGUGUGUACAGGUUGGGUGUACACACAGAGAAGUACAUUUGAGUUCUGUUUGCCUGCUUCUUGCUUUCAUCCUGUCCUCCUCUGGGAUGGAAGAACGCUAAAACUUCCUCUGCAGAGCCUGCGGCCAAGACCAGCAGGGCGGCUCCUUCUGUGCGCUCAGCCGCUCCUGGGAGGAUACGCAUUCUCCUGCAGGACAAGGCCUUGACGUCGUCCUGGUUGGUGUCCAGCUGCCUGGAAUGAAGACACGCACGCUUGAUGAACAGUCCACUGAUCCGCUUCAUCUUGUUUCUGCUGUGGGUUAUCCGUACGAGUGACAUAGUGAUGGCACACGGGGCUGCCUCCUCUCCCGAGAACUCGUAUUUAUGGUAGGAGCUUGUUGUAAUACAAGUCAUCAAACAGAUUUAAAUUUACCACAGGUUAAGCCGCGUGUCCCCUGGAACACUACAUAUAAUAGAAGCCUGAUAUAGGAUGACUGGGUUAUAACACAGCGUUCGUCCGUCUCCUGGUUUUAUUGUCGGGUCAGCGUGAAGGUGGGGUGAGCCACGGCUACUUAGUGGGAAUUAGAAAAGCCUCUUGGCGUUUCCUGUAUUUUGUGAAGCCGCUUUUGUCCUUGUCUGGGUGUGUGGCAGUGUCUUUGUUGAGUUUCCCCCUUUAGCUUUCCUCCUGUUGUCUUUACUUUAGUUUUCCUGGAGAACGUGUUUGCACUCUCAUGUUUCCCAUGCUUAUUAUGUGCCCCAUGCUGCCCUGAGCCCUUGACAUGAAUUAUGUGAGUUAUCUUUCAUAAAAACCUCAAGGGGGAGUUAUUUUUGUCCCCAUCCAGUAGCCCAGGAGCCUGAAGCUCAGACACACUUGGACACUUUCCCAGAGUCGCACGGCCGGUAGACUGCAGAGCCAGGACUCCAGCAAACAGAAGCAUCCUCUGUACUUGGCUCAUGCGGCCUUGAAUGUUGUCAGAAUCGCUGUUUAC
rnacentral:lncRNA from 1 species